UUUCUAAACAAGAUGUAAACAAACAAUCUAGUUCUGGUUAAGUAUUAUUAAAAAUAACAUUGCAAAAAUUAAAGUGAUGGUUUUGUUUCAGUGCUGAAUUAUCAAAGUAAUUUUAACACAAUUUUUUUUUUUAUUUAGCACAAAUCUAACAUUUUAUCAGUACUUGUACUUGAUAAUGGGUUUUUGCUAAGGCAUAUAAAUAUUAUAUAGGUAUUUUCUCUAACCUCAAAAUCAGUAAUAUGGACUAUACUAAAGGGACUUCUGGUUUAGCAUUAAUAAGUUCCUAUAGUGAUGACGACAGUGAUACUGAAGAUGACAGCAAAAUUGAUUAUUCCACCAUACUUCAAACCAAAUCUGUUGAGCACUACAAUAAUAUCAACAGUUCAAAACCUAAUAGCUCAACCAAUAGAUUGCCCCUCCCAUCAUCGAUUAUCCAGUUAUACAAGAAUGUGUCAGACACCAACAGAGUGCCUGAAGACAAUCCUGGACAACACGACGGGAGGAUACGCUCCUUUCCUCACCUGAGGGGGAACUGGUCUACCUAUGUUUAUAUACCUUACUCGGAGGAGGAAGGGUUCUCUACCUUGUUGUGCCGGCUGAAGGAGUGUGCUGCACACGUGGGAGUGGCCUUCAAGGUAAUCCCAGAGCCACAUGUCUCUCUGACACGGACUGUAGUUCUGCUUCAUCACUGGAUCGAGAACUUCAUUACUUCUGUGCGGUCCAGCCUCGGUCAUCUACCCAAGUUCACUGUCCAGUUGGGAGCACCAGCAGUGUACUGUAACGAGGAAAGGACACGUACGUUCCUGGGCUUGCGUGCAGUCACAGGUGUUACUGAACUCUGUGCGACCACUCAUGCGUUAGACGAGUGUCUGGCAGAGUUCCGUCUACCACCCUUCUAUUUGGACCCCUCGUUCCACAUGAGUGUGCUGUGGGUGGUGGGAGACUUGAGGGCAACACUGGAGCCACUGUUGCCGACCUUGCAGGCAGAGUUAGAGACUCACGCGGUGGAAUAUCCUCACGAGUUAAGGCUGGACGUUAGCCAGUGUCUGUGCAAGUGUGGAAAUAAGUCUUUUGUUUUUCCACUCGCAUCGUUAUAACAGUAGUUUCUACAUUGUUAGGGAACAUCUAUUUUUUGAAUUUUAAAAUCCCUUAUGUUUAUUUAAUUGUAAAUGAUGCAGUAUUGAUCUAUCAUCUUGAAUGAAAAGUGCUUUUAAAACCAGAUCCAUCAAGAAAACCUUUAAUGUGUUCUUAUUCUUGUAUCCUGUUGAUGUAUGCAUGGAAGAUUUGUUUUUAUGUAUACUCGGACUUGAAACCCUAUAUCUGUUCAACGUUAAAGGUUUAAAAUGAUCACCACAAUUUCAGUACUUUUACAAGGUUAUUUUCAAAACAUUCAUCACAAAAAUAUAAAGCCUUCUCUAAAUGUACCUUAAUACAUUAUUUCUUUUUUUUCUUAGGUAAUGUAGAUUAUUAUUACAUGUAAAAACAUAAAAAACAUUAUUAUAAAUCUUUAAAUAUUUAGGCUAAAUGAAUUCUAGUCUCUUGUUAAUUGUUUUUGUUUGUCAGUGUUUAAAAACAAUUUUUAUUCAGCCAUAAAUGUGAAAAAAAUCCAUAAUAUACAAGUUUACCACUUUUAUGAAGUGUUGUGCUUGAAGAUCAUGCAUAUUUCCUAGGUCACUAAUACUUUUUAUUAAU